CGUUGUCCGGAAUCAUUGGGCGUAAAGCGCGUGUAGGCGGCCCGGUAAGUCCGCUGUGAAAGUCGGGGGCUCAACCCUCGGAUGCCGGUGGAUACUGUCGGGCUUGAGUACGGAAGAGGCGAGUGGAAUUCCUGGUGUAGCGGUGAAAUGCGCAGAUAUCAGGAGGAACACCUAUUGCGAAGGCAGCUCGCUGGGACGUAACUGACGCUGAGACGCGAAAGCGUGGGGAGCAAACAGG
rnacentral:rRNA from 1 species